UCUCGACCGCCAGAUCUUCUCCAGCUACCGACCAUCUCCUUUCUUUAUACUGGAUGAAGUUGAUGCAUCACUAGAUAAUCUGAAUGUUGUCAAGGUUGCAGGGUUCAUAGAUCAAAAUCAUGUGCUGGUGCAAGGGUUGUACAUCAAUGGGAUUCUGUGAGAGGUCACAGUGAGAUUUGCAGAAAGUAUCAGCUUGGGACACG
rnacentral:misc_RNA from 1 species